UACAUGGGGUGCAAACGUUGCUCGGAAUCAUUGGGCGUAAAGCGCGCGUAGGCGGUUACUUAAGUCGAAUGUGAAAGCCCUCGGCUUAACCGAGGAAGUGCAUCCGAAACUGAGUAGCUAGAGUACGAAAGAGGGUCGCGGAAUUCCCGGUGUAGAGGUGAAAUGCGUAGAGAUGUGGAGGAACACCAGUGGCGAAGGCGACUCUUUGGCCUGUAACUGACACUGAGGCGCGAAAGCGUGGGGAGCAAACAGG
rnacentral:rRNA from 1 species